UUUAAAAAAAUAAAAAUAAAAAUCCCCACCAAGGCAGGGAAACUCCCUAGCCUAAAGCACCAACGGUUAGUCCCAGUUCCCCCUAUCGCCCCCUAACUCAUGGCCUCUUGACACAUAUCUUGACACACACAUUGACACGCACGUACAGUAUAGCGCACGAACACACACACCCCACACUCAUUUCAACUGACAUCCCUGGACACACAAACCCCUUCUUUGACCACAGUCAGUUCCAGUUCCCCUUUUCUCAACCCCUUGACACACACAGACACACAGACAUCUCAAUGCACACACACCCCACACUCAAGUCAACUGAGCAGGGGCCAGGAUCAGACAACUUCAAGAAGCACCAAUGGGGCACCGGCAAAGGGUCGGACAGGACCUGCCUCCAACCUUCACCAACCAGUCAGAAGACAGAACUACAAGAAUCAACCUACGCCAUUCUAUGUUUAAAUACCUUUGCACACUGUGUUUAGGUAUCCUUUUUCAGCUGACUCCUUCUGAGCCAAAUGAGAGGAUCCGUGCACGCUUUGUAUCAGAUAUCUUUACCUUUAAUAAACCUGCCUUGAAUCAUACCAUAUCCACCUGGUCCAGCGUCUCAACUUGGUCUCUCUCCUCUAGUAACAGUACAUCAAUCAAACAUGGUAGCAGAGGAUGGUUGAUAUAAACACCUAAAUUCGGUCCAAAAGAGGUUGAUGAGAGGAGAGGCGAGUUGGAGGCACAAUCCAGAGGGACGGGUGACCUGCAAAGGAGCCGCCGGGGAUUCAUCUCACCUCAGGAACCUGAUCUAAAAAAGUCGACUAAACAAAGGAUUUUAUGCAUUACAGGUGAACUACAGGUGAAGUCACUCAAUCCAGUCCCAGAGGCUUGGGGACCAUAGAAGACCCCUGGUGACAGCUAGCUGAAAGAGCUACCCAGAUUCAUAUCGCACGGCGGGUGGGUAAGACACUUUUUCACUGUCGGACAAUAAACAGAGUUCGGGAGAAGAACUGGAAUUAACAGAAUUCCGGGGGCCAACUCUCGAAUGAAGUAACCCUACCUGUCCUAUCACCCCUGUUUUUGUUCAUAGAAGUGAGGAUGUGUCUGGCUCUGGCUAUGUGAUGUGUAUUUUGUUCCAAAAUAAGCAUAAGAGAUCCCUAGAUCUGGGUAGACAGGAAGUUAGAGUAGAGAUUACAUGAUAACCGACUUCGGACAGUUCUAGGAUUAGAGAAGAGGGUAUCCUUAUAGCAUAGGGGAUCCCACAAAGGUGGAUAGGUUUUCCAUGAUAUGGGGAAACCUGGGAGCAAUGUUGAACUUUGUAAAGGUGAUGAAAUCCUACUAACCAUAAAAAAUAUUAAGCUCUCUGAUGCAGGCACUCACACCCUCGGACUACAAAGGACGAGGACAGACAUGAUGGGUGUGUUUUCUAUUAAGGUACUGCCAAUACCAGAGGUAACCGGACACACUCCUCUACCACCACUGUGUUAAAAAAUACCAUUCAGGUAAUUAAUGUUAGAGACUAUUCGGCUAUUGAUCAAUUAGGAACUGAGACUGGUUUUGAUAGUAGGGACAAUUUGUGGCUGUCUUAUAUGAGGUACACAGCUAAAACCCUGAGAAGAAAGGACUGUAUUAUUUGUAGUCAUGCUAGACCUGUUCUGGCUACACACCCAUUUGCUGUAGGAGAAGGAGAGGGGUGGUUGUGUAUUCUGAGAAGUUUUUACCAGGUUAAGCCCAAUUCAACCCUCUGUUCCUCUUUGAGCCUUGUGUUUCCUGCAGUACCUCCUCAUCGGGCCUCUUGGGGUGUUGGGGCAUAUGGGGGCAAUUACGAGUGCAUCACGGGUACAGGUAAUGGCAUUGAUUAUGGGAGAUUGCCUGAAGCUGAUUGCAGUAGUAACAUAACCAUUAAUUCCACUUGGCCAGUUACAGGCCUAAACCAAACUAGUGGUCUGGCUGAUGUGUGGAGCCAAAAGAGUGCUGAGACCCAUUCUUAGAGGAGAAUGGCAAGGUACGUGUGGUCUGACCAGUUUGAUAAUUCCACUGACCAUUGUUGAUGUUGCUGCUGAACAGCUGCUGAGUUCUGUAUCCAGGGGACCUGAAAACAUUCCAUCCCAUGGGAGACAUAGAUGUAAUGUUCCAUGGACAGAGGAUGUAGUUGACAUACACACUAACCUGUUGGGAGUGCCAGUGGGGAUUCCUCAUGAGUUUCAGGCCUUUGGUAGGAAUGAUGGACUCUGGCACUUACUACCUACUAUGGGUCUAGCCAUAGUGGAUGCUAGACAGACUGCAUGGAUUAAUUAUAUCUACUAUAAUCAACAGCGUUUUGUGAAUUACUCCCGUGAUGCACUCACUGGUAUGUCUGAACAGCUUGAGGCCACAUUUGGAGUUUCCAGACAGAAUAGACUUGCCUGGGAUAUGCUUCUUGCCAGUCGGGGGACGUCUGCAAGAUGUUCGGUGAACAAUGUUGCACGUAUAUUCCUAAUAAUACCAGUCCAGAUGGUAGUAUAUCUAAGGCGGGCUUGAUGCACUAUCUGCUAAGAUGAGGUCCACGGGGGGGGGAGGAGUCUGUUCUCUUGGCCUGGUUUGGUAAGUACACUGGUAUGAUGGUUACUGGAUUUCUGACCCUAAUUCUUGUAUUAUUUGUUAUUGAUGUGAUGUGCUGCUUGCAUCAUACCGCGUUUUAAGAAGUCUGUUACAGAUGUGGUGAAGGCUUCAGGCAUAUGCCUUUGCUUGAUGCUCCAGUUGGCGAUGCCGAUACUGAAGCAUGCUUUCAGGGGAGGAUGGGACUGACUGAGGAUGACACAUGGUUUGGAGUCCCUGGGUGGCAAGGAGCCCACCUGGUACAGGAUAGGAGUAGCUGAGAGGACCAGAUGGGUUCUAAUAAUUCUUUACUCUGUUUUCCAUGACCAAAGUUAUAUCCUACAUCUUACAUGUCAAUAACAAUACAGUUUUAUCCUGUUUUUGAUAAGUGACACCCUUGUGGGUGACAAAAGGGGGAAACAAAAGCAUACAACAAAGGCAUAUAUCACUUGUUAUUAAUAAUAAACUUUUUAUUAUUUUCAUGAAAUGCUAUGACUGCUGAAAUAAAGGAUAAUGAGUGACACCCUAGCGGGUGUCAAAAGGGGGACCUAAAUUUCACACUAUUUUCUUUUGUUCUGUUUUUGAAUGAGCUGUUCUCUUUUGACAUGAAGGUCGUUUAAACUUUGUAACUGUUAUAUGAUUCAUUGCUGAAUUUUUGUUCACACCCUUGGGGUUAUUUUACAUUAUAGCCAUUACCAUAUAUAUGAUUGAAUAUUAUCUGCUGUUGUCUUGUGUGGAUGUAUGUAUGUGUUAUGCUACCUAGCUGAUUUGAAACAUUGUUAAAAGUAUCAGGGCCAUGGAACCCUCUCAUGCUGGAAAAAUACAGAAGGGAGGGCACAUUCAGAGCGUGGGCUUGCGAGAACAAACGGUCUUUUCUUAGAUAACAGGAGCCAGGUGCGAGAUAACGGUAUGGAGCAUGAGACCCAUCUUUCAGUUUUUGCAGCCAUUUUAAGAGGGGGAUCCAGUUGCUUUUAGUGAUUAAGCUUCUCCAUUGUAUGUCGUGUCCCAUCUGGGAUGGGAAGAGGGGGAAAUUAUUUUUCUUUGUGGGCCAUUUCCGUAUAGACUUACCUAGUUUAGGCUAUUUUUCCUUUUUGGAUUAUGUUUUCGUUUUUGCUGGGAGUAAUGUAUCUGGACUAUAUCACAUCUCUUAGAAGAUGUGAAGAGAGGGAAUCACAACUUUUUCCUGCGGGAAAAAGUUGGCUUAUGUGGACAAGCAUUUUACUUUUAUUUUGAGCUGUUGUUCUCCGCUCUGUUAAAUGAGGGUUGUAAGUUCCUAGGUGGCUGGUAGCCAACUUAGUACAUAAGUGGGAUUGAAUGGAGAACAUGAUGGUAAUACAUAUAUAUCUAUGUGGGACUCAUGGAUGGAUGCGUUUGGCAAGUAUAAGACCCUGGUCUCAUCCGUCCUCGUUUCCAUUUCGGUUUUUGCUGCAAUCAUAGUCCUUUGUGGGUGCUGUUGCAUUCCAUGUGCCCGUACAUUGACUAAUAGGGUUAUCACAUCGGCUAUUGAUCCCAAUCAGGCUAGCCAGAUGUAUCCCUUGUUUGCAUUGGAGGAACCUGAGAGUCUGUAUGAUGAAGGCCUCUAUUAGCCUUUGUGCCACGUCUCUUGUUUGACGUGAAGAGGGGGAAUUGGAAAAUUACAAACUUCCCUUGCUUAACUUCCUAUUUGUCACGUCUCUUGUGAGACGUGAAGAGGGGGAAUCACAAAAUUUGUCCGCUGACAAAUUUUUAGCUUAUGCUCUUAUAUGUUCACAUUUCGCCCUGGAUUAUGUUCACGUCUAGUAGAUGUGAAGAGGGGGAUUUGUAGUAUAUCAUAACAUAUAUUAUUUACUCAUAGCCUAGCAGAGUGGCCUGGAACCAUAUAACUAAAACACAUCCCAUGACUGAGACUUAGGGGGCUAUUACUCAAACAUACUUCUGCAUUAACCCAGACACAUUCUGUCCAGGUCAAAAGCACAUUCUAACCACAAACCAACUGUAAAGCUCCAAACUCAACGGUCGGACUGAAGUUAUCACAUAAAUCCCCACCAAGGCAGGGAAACUCCCUAGCCUAAAGCACCAACGGUUAGUCCCAGUUCCCCCUAUCGCCCCCUAACUCAUGGCCUCUUGACACAUAUCUUGACACACACAUUGACACGCACGUACAGUAUAGCGCACGAACACACACACCCCACACUCAUUUCAACUGACAUCCCUGGACACACAAACCCCUUCUUUGACCACAGUCAGUUCCAGUUCCCCUUUUCUCAACCCCUUGACACACACAGACACACAGACAUCUCAAUGCACACACACCCCACACUCAAGUCAACUGAGCAGGGGCCAGGAUCAGACAACUUCAAGAAGCACCAAUGGGGCACCGGCAAAGGGUCGGACAGGACCUGCCUCCAACCUUCACCAACCAGUCAGAAGACAGAACUACAAGAAUCAACCUAUCUUUACCUUUAAUAAACCUGCCUUGAAUCAUACCAUA